rnacentral:rRNA from 1 species
GGCUCAGAUUGAACGCUGGCGGCAGGCUUAACACAUGCAAGUCGAGCGGAUGAAAGUAGCUUGCUACUGGAUUCAGCGGCGGACGGGUGAGUAAUGCUUAGGAAUCUGCCUAUUAGUGGGGGACAACGUUCCGAAAGGAGCGCUAAUACCGCAUACGUCCUACGGGAGAAAGCAGGGGACCUUGGGGCCUUGCGCUAAUAGAUGAGCCUAAGUCGGAUUAGCUAGUUGGUAGGGUAAAGGCCUACCAAGGCGACGAUCUGUAGCGGGUCUGAGAGGAUGAUCCGGCACACUGGGACUGAGACACGGCCCAGACUCCUACGGGAGGCAGCAGUGGGGAAUAUUGGACAAUGGGGGGAACCCUGAUCCAGCCAUGCCGCGUGUGUGAAGAAGGCCUUUUGGUUGUAAAGCACUUUAAGCGAGGAGGAGGCUACCUAGAUUAAUACUUUAGGAUAGUGGACGUUACUCGCAGAAUAAGCACCGGCUAACUCUGUGCCAGCAGCCGCGGUAAUACUGAGGGUGCGAGCGUUAAUCGGAUUUACUGGGCGUAAAGCGUGCGUAGGCGGCCAAUUAAGUCAAAUGUGAAAUCCCCGAGCUUAACUUGGGAAUUGCAUUCGAUACUGGUUGGCUAGAGUAUGGGAGAGGAUGGUAGAAUUCCAGGUGUAGCGGUGAGAUGCGUAGAGAUCUGGAGGAAUACCGAUGGCGAAGGCAGCCAUCUGGCCUAAUACUGACGCUGAGGUACGAAAGCAUGGGGAGCAAACAGGAUUAGAUACCCUGGUAGUCCAUGCCGUAAACGAU